GCGAACGCUGGCGGCGUGCCUAACACAUGCAAGUCGCACGUGAAAGGGAGCAAUCCCAAGUAAAGUGGCGUACGGGUGAGUAACACGUAGGUAAUCUACCCCAGAAUCUGGAAUAACCGGCCGAAAGGCUGGCUAAUACUGGAUAGAGCGACGGAAUCCGUAAUUGGGUUUUUCGGGAAAGGGAGCCUGUAAAAAGGCCUUCGUUCUGGGAUGAGCCUGCGUCCCAUCAGCUAGUUGGUGAGGUAAAAGCUUACCAAGGCAAUGACGGGUAGCUGGUCUGAGAGGACGAUCAGCCACACUGGAACUGAAACACGGUCCAGACUCCUACGGGAGGCAGCAGUGGGGAAUCUUGCGCAAUGGACGAAAGUCUGACGCAGCAACGCCGCGGGAGUGAAGAAGGCCUUCGGGUUGUAAAGCUCUGUCGAGUGGGACGAAAAUGCUUGGAGUUCACAGCUCCAGGAACUGACGGUACCACUAAAGGAAGCACCGGCUAACUCCGUG
rnacentral:rRNA from 1 species